UAGAUGGAAGCUUGCAGGUUUAGGCAUUUAGCUGUUAACUAGAAUUUUGUGGGAUCAAGGCCCACCCAUCUAG
rnacentral:tRNA from 1 species